GAUGAACGCUGGCGGCGUGCCUAAUACAUGCAAGUCGAGCGAACAGACGAGGAGCUUGCUCCUCUGACGUUAGCGGCGGACGGGUGAGUAACACGUGGAUAACCUACCUAUAAGACUGGGAUAACUUCGGGACACCGGCGCUAAUACCGGAUAAUAUAUUGAACCGCAUGGUUCAAUAGUGAAAGACGGUUUUGCUGUCACUUAUAGAUGGAUCCGCGCCGCAUUAGAUAGUUGGUAAGGUAACGGCUUACCAAGGCGACGAUGCGUAGCCGACCUGAGAGAGUGGUCGGCCACACUGGAGCUGGGACACGGUCCAGACUCCUACGGGAGGCAGCAGUAGGGAAUCUUCCGCAAUGGGCGAGAGCCUGACGGAGCAGCGCCGCGUGAGUGAUGAAGGUCUUCGGAUCGUAAAACUCUGUUAUUAGGGGAAAACAAAUGUGUAAGUAACUGUGCACGUCUUGACGGUACCUAGUCAGAAAGCAACGGCUAACUACGUG
rnacentral:rRNA from 1 species